rnacentral:rRNA from 6 species
CCGAUUGAAUGGCUCAGUGAGGCCUUCGGACUGGCCCAGGGAGGUCGGCAACGACCACCCAGGGCCGGAAAGUUGGUCAAACUCGGUCAUUUAGAGGAAGUAAAAGUCGUAACAAGGUCUCCGUAGGUGAACCUGCGGAGGGAUCAUUA